rnacentral:lncRNA from 1 species
GAGGGGGGAAACAUUCAUGAUCUGUUUUCCGUUUUUUUUUUUCAGAUGACUGUCCAUGAUUUUGAUCAGAGAAACUGUUUUCUUUGCAACACAUCUCAAACACAGAGUAACAGAUGCAGGCAGUCACCGAACACACAGCUAGUGCUGAAACACAUACAUAUAUUAAAGGUGGCAUGCACGAGGAGGACACACAAGAUCGACGACGGCAUCGUCGAUCACCAUAGGCACGUUCAGUUCAGACAACCCCAGCUGAGACACGGCAGGCGACCAUGAAUGACACGACACGACGCUGCAGAUGAUGAUGGAUGGCGCAGUUGGCAAGAUCUUAUUUAGUAGACGCUGCUACUAUAUUAGUAUGCUGCUGGGGGGCGCUUCUCCUUCCUCCUCGCGCUCCAUGGCGCCGCCGCCUCAGUUGCAGCUGCAGCAGGAGCAGCCGCAGCUGGUGCCGCACUUGCAGGUGUUGCAGUCGCAGCCGCCGGCCUCCGCGGCCGCCUCGAACCCGCCGGAGCUCCUGCACCCACACGCAGUCAUGGUUCAGUAACAUAACAACAGCAGCGGCGGCAAUGGAUCGAUCGAGAAGACGAAGCAAAGGAUAGUUCCCCACGCCAGACUUACGCCUUGUUGGUGGCGGCGGCGAUGACCAUGGUGGUGGUGGUGGAGGCGGCCUCCACGUCAGGGAACAUCUUGCAGCUGCAUAUACCCGGAUCAUACAUACACAUUCGUCAGGUACAUGAUCAGUAGAGUUUCAAAAAAAAAGAAGACAGUACAUGAUCACUAUAUCAACAGAUUUCGUCAUGGAAAACAAUGGUUUUCAUCAUGCACGUGUUGUUGUUGUGAGGUUCAAUUAGAUCCCUACCCGCCGCAUCCGCCGCCGCACUUGCAGCCAGCGCCGCACCCGCAGUUGCCGCCGCAGCAAGACAUGCUGAUGAUCACGAGCAGGGAAGCAGGAACUGGUGCUUGAAGAAGGUGUAGUAGUGCUUCUUGUGCUCUGCUUCGCUUGUGAU